CAGCAGCCGCGGGAAUACAGAGGGUGCAAGCGUUAAUCGGAAUUACUGGGCGUAAAGCGCGCGUAGGUGGUUUGUUAAGUUGGAUGUGAAAUCCCCGGGCUUAACCUGGGAACUGCAUUUGAAACUGGCAGGCUAGAGUCUUGUAGAGGGGGGUAGAAUUCCAGGUGUAGCGGUGAAAUGCGUAGAGAUCUGGAGGAAUACCGGUGGCGAAGGCGGCCCCCUGGACAAAGACUGACGCUCAGGUGCGAAAGCGUGGGGAGCAAACAGGAUUAGAUACCCGUGUAGUCCCUGUCUCUUAUAC
rnacentral:rRNA from 1 species